GGGCGUGUGGUGUAGUGGUAUCACGCCUGAUUUGCAACGUAAUUUCAGGCGGCCCAGAGUUCGAUCCUCUGCGCGUCCA
rnacentral:tRNA from 1 species